GUUCCUUUGGUGUCUCACUGCCAGUUACCGCCGUCCGAUCCUCCUCUCGCUCCCUCUUACGAGUGCUGAUGUGAAGAAGAGCGUCGUGGUGACCAUCUAUUCAGACAAAGGUCUCUGUCGUGGAAUUAACUCUACAUCUAUCAAGAUAAGCAAAGGGCUCCACAAGUUGAACUCUGGUCCUGAAAAAGAAACAAAUAUGUUAUUUGGGAGAGAAGGCUAAGGCUCAAUUAAUUCGGACUCUAAGAAGGACAUUGAGAUAAUCAUAACUGAGUUGCAGAAGAUCCUUUGAACUACACUCAGGUAUCUGUUCUUGCUGAUGAGAUCUUAAAGAAUGUGGAGUAUGAUGCUUUGAGGAUUGUCUUCAACAAAUUGUUGGUGAUAAAGCAUUUGACUCUAUAAAUAGAGAAUAUGAUUUAACCUUUAGUACGAGCAUGAAAGAAUUAUU